CCAGAAACAUUACCUGUGUUCAACAUGCUGUCAUUGCAUUAUUCUGGAUUUUCUCUACUGGUUCUCUCCACUCUAACAGGCAUCAACUGUCAGGAUCUGACUCCAGUCAACAAUGAAGAGUUCAGUUCAGAAGGCAGCACUGUUACUCUGUCCUACACAUACUCCAAAGAAGCAACUGCCAGUGAUUAUUUCUUCUGGUAUCGACAAUAUCCAGGAAAACCACCAGAGUUCCUCAUCUCUGACUCUAGUUCAGGAACAGGAGUGAACAAUCCAGUCCCUGGACUGAAGAGUAAAGUGGAGAAAAACCAAAUCAACAUGACCAUUUCCUCUGCUAAAAUGACUGACUCUGCUGUGUACUACUGUGCUGUGAGGCCCACAGUGACAGGAAGUGAAGGCGGCCCUGCCAUCGCCCCUGGGGAAAGGUCAGACGACCCAUCCGUUCCAGCCAUUGGACUGGAUAUUGGUGAAGGACCUGAGGAGGCGCCAUUGGCAUUCCCCGCGUUGGAGAGGCCCAUACCAGGUUCUGCUCACCACACCCACAGCGGUGAAAGUCAAGGAGAGAACAACUUGGAUACAUGCGUCCCACUGUAA